CAGAGUUGCAAAGCUCCCACAAACCAUCGCGAAUCUUACCCGUACGGUUGCCUCGGCGCUGGCGGUCCGGAAGGCCCUCGGGCCCCCCGGAUCCUCGGGUCUCCCGCUCGCGGGAGGCUGCCCGCCGGAGUGCCGAAACCAAACUCUUGAUAUUUUAUGUCUCUCUGAGUAAACUUUUAAAUAAGUCA
rnacentral:misc_RNA from 1 species